GACGAGGGAUCCUAGCGUUGCUCGGAAUUAUUGGGCGUAAAGCGGGCGUAGGUGGCUUGGUAAGUCAGAUGUGAAAGCCCUGGGCUUAACCCAGGAAGUGCAUUUGAUACUGCUAAGCUUGAGUGCGAGAGAGGUUAAUAGAAUACCUGGUGUAGUGGUGAAAUACGUAGAUAUCAGGUGGAACACCGGAGGCGAAGGCGGUUAACUGGCUCGACACUGACACUGAGACCCGAAAGUGCGGGGAUCAAACAGG
rnacentral:rRNA from 1 species